GUACUCAACACAAUUGCCACAAAAUAUACAAACUCCGAAAUCAAUACUAUACCACAUGAGUGGAUAUAUAGGAAAGGAAUCCAAAUCUGCCGAAUCGCUCAUGUUAUGAUCUUCUACAUCCUAGGUCUCUGCGUUCCGUCAUCUGGCCUAUUCUUUAAAUAA
rnacentral:rRNA from 1 species